ensembl:lncRNA
AUGUGCAUGGGGGAACUCCAACUUGGAUGCAGAGGGAGGAAGUCAUCUGUGAGCCCAUUUACAGUAUGGUUUUACCUUUGGAUGAUAGCAAAGCUUUUCGUAGCGUCAGAUGUUUCCAGGAAGAGAAAAAACUGCAGUUCAAUGUUUUGUGUAGAUAAAACUUAUUCUGGUUGCGGCAGACGUAUUGGAAGAAGGUUAGGUAUUAAGUCCAAAAUCUUAAUGCUUUCAGGAAAAGAGAUCUGAUGAAAAUUUCAAAUCUAUUUUCAUUUCUUUUCUAUAGCUCUCUUUCUUCUUCUCCUCCUCUGCUUUUGCUCCUCCUCCUCCUCCCCUCAUCCUUCUUCUUCUCCUCCUUCCCUCCUACCCCUCCCCUCCCCUCUUCUUCUGUCUGGAAGUCAAAUACCCAAUUAUAACCUCAGGCUCCAUUUUACAUUAGCACUGGUCCUAAUAUCUGUCCCAACUCCCAGCUUGAGGGAGAGGAUAGAAGAAGAUAAAGGAGAAGAGAGAAGAAAAAAGGAAAAAGAAAAAAGGAUGAGAAGAUGGGAGAGGAAUGAGUAGAAAUAAAAAAAAAGUAGAGGAGUGCAGGGGAAAGAAGGAGAGGAUAACUUCUCUUUGACUAGUAUGUCCACCAAUUCUGUCUCAUCACGAGAGUAACUUCAAUGAAGCCUAGGGUUUUCCCCAUGAAAUAGUAUUUCAUCUUGAUAACAAUGGGCUUCCCUGGUGGUAAAGAAUCUGCCUGCAAUACAGGAGACUUGCAGGAGACAUAGGUUCAUUCCCUGGAUUGGGAAGAUCCCCUGAAGAAGGAAAUGGCAAUGCACUCCAAUAUUCUUGCCUGGAAAAUCCCACAAAUACAGGAGACUUCCAGGCUACAGUCCAUGGGUCCAUGCAUUGCAAAAGAGUCAGACAUGACUGAGUGACUGAGCAACAAACUUGAUAACAAUGCAACACUUUGGUUACAAAUUUCUCAAAUCAAUAACCUCAACAGAAAUAAAGUACAUCUGAAAAUUCUUUCUUCCAGAGUCCCUUGAACUCACUCCAAUUUCUAUCAUAGGAGAGGGUGUAUCUCUUUGUGCAUAGGAAUAUGGGCAAAGUGAGAUCCUUUUCCUCUUUCCCUCUGCCCAAAGGGAAAAUCUCUGCUCCUCUGAGAUUUUGCCCAGUAAAAUCAGCAUGUAAUAGAUUACAUGGAAAAGUCUUUAAGGGGAGAGAGGCCCUCACUAAUCCAUGUAGGAAAGAACAGUGCCUAACAGAAAUCAGAAACCUAACUAAGGUGGAAUCUUAAGAAGUCUGAAAAGUGAAAGUUGUUCAGUCGUGUCCUACACUUUGUGACCCCAUGGACCCCAUUCAGUCCAUGGAAUUCUCCAUACCAGAAUGCUAGAGUGGGUAUCCUUUCCCUUCUCCAUGGGAUCUUCCCAACCCUGGGAUCAAACCCAGGUCUCCUUCAUUGCAGGUGGAUUCUUUACCAGCUGAGCUACAAGAGAAGCCCAAAAACUGCUGGAGUGGUUAGCCUAUCCCUUUUCCAGCAAAUCUUCCCAACUCAGGAAUUGAACAGGGGUCUCCUGCAUUACAGGUGGAUUCUUUACAAACUGAGCUAUCAGGGAAGCCCUAAGAGGUCUGAUGGGAUAUUAAAAAGAGGAUCAGGGUUACUCAUUUCUUUUCUCUGUCCCUUAGACAUUACUAUGGAUAAAAUGACCACUUUCAGCUCUUGAUUCUGUUUUUUUUUUUUUUUUCCCCCAGUGUUCAUACAGAAUUUCCACUUACCCCUCUGGGUUAUUUCUGCAGAUGAGUUAAUCUUG